rnacentral:rRNA from 1 species
ACACUCCUGCGGGAGGCAGCAGUGGGGAAUUUUGGACAAUGGGCGCAAGCCUGAUCCAGCCAUGCCGCGUGCGGGAAGAAGGCCUUCGGGUUGUAAACCGCUUUUGUCAGGGAAGAAAAGGUUCUGGCUAAUACCUGGGACUCAUGACGGUACCUGAAGAAUAAGCACCGGCUAACUACGUGCCAGCAGCCGCGGUAAUACGUAGGGUGCAAGCGUUAAUCGGAAUUACUGGGCGUAAAGCGUGCGCAGGCGGUUAUGCAAGACAGAGGUGAAAUCCCCGGGCUCAACCUGGGAACUGCCUUUGUGACUGCAUGGCUAGAGUACGGUAGAGGGGGAUGGAAUUCCGCGUGUAGCAGUGAAAUGCGUAGAUAUGCGGAGGAACACCGAUGGCGAAGGCAGUCCCCUGGACCUGUACUGACGCUCAUGCACGAAAGCGUGGGGAGCAAACAGGAUUAGAUACCCUAGUAGUCCCAUGAU